rnacentral:rRNA from 1 species
AUUGAACGCUGGCGGCAGGCCUAACACAUGCAAGUCGAACGAGUGGCGGACGGGUGAGUAAUGUCUGGGAAACUGCCUGAUGGAGGGGGAUAACUACUGGAAACGGUAGCUAAUACAGAAUAACAUCGCAUGUGCCCAGAUGGGAUGAGCUAGUAGGUGGGGUAAAGGCUCACCUAGGCGACGAUCCCUAGCUGGUCUGAGAGGAUGACCAGCCACACUGGAACUGCGACACGGUCCAGACUCCGACGGGAGGCAACAGGGGGGAAUAUUGCACAAUGGGCGCAAGCCUGAUGCAGCUAUGCCGCGUGUAUGAAGAAGGCCUUCGGGUUGUAAAGUACUUUCAGCGGGGAGGCGUUACCCGCAGAAGAAGCACCGGCUAACUCCGUGCCAGCCGCCGCGGUAAUAC